CCAAUUACUUUUAUUUUUCCUCAGACCCUUCAGUUGCUUUCCCUUUGUUGAACAAAACACAGGAACCAAACGAAUCCUAAGUUCUCUUACCCCCUUUCAACAAAUCCAGCGAUUGCCAGCUCAUUUCCGGCCAGUUUUUUUCAUCGAUUCUCAGCUUUUGCCUCACUAUUUCGGGGAAAGCAUUAAUGGGAGUUUGUCCCGAACGGUAGUAUUGUUUUCCCUUUACUUUCCAAUUCAAUUUCAUUCAGCUUUCUCAGCACGAUUCCACGGAUUCCAAAUAAACAAGUUCUUUUCAACCUAAAACCCAACCAUUUGGGGUUCUUCAUCUCAGACCACGGUUUUGAAGGGCUAGAACAAGUGUUCUUACAAAGAAAUUUUGGAAAAAGGAUUCUUAUCCUAAACCAAUUUUCUGAGUUUAAAGUUCUGAAACCUAAGUUCAUCUCUCGUCUUCUUUCGAGUGUUCAAAUCUUUGGCGGAAGGAAGUAUUUUCGCUCAGUCGCUGCUCCGCAACAGUCCAGUGGACUUCCUCCAGCAUUAGGUGUUAGCCCAACAUAGUGCUAUCUCGAGUCAGCCCCAUUAAUUAACCAACAGUAGCAGCAGCUAGAUGACAUUGGAGAAGCCCAAUUAGUUCACUCUUCCUUAAGUUCCUUUACCUUUACUUCAUUUUUUUGUUGUGCAUUUUGUGUUGUAAAACUUGACUAACGUUUUACUUUGUUUUAUUUAACCACAUCUUUAUCCCA